AGUACAUAUUUGGAUUUAGUAGUCUUGGAAAAUCAUCAGGAAUUUCCAGUGUAUUCAGUUCAUUCGAGAAGUCGGAGCAAUACGGAAGUCUUGGCUCGUCUAGACGGUUUUUUGGGAUGUUUCCCAUGGAUAUAUUUAGAUAUCCUCGCUAGCCGCGAGAAUAGAUCCCUUCUUGGCUAGAAGAGCCUCUGCUGGAGCUGUCGUCACUGGGUUUGGCUUUUUGUGUGCCUCGUCGUCCGAAGCAUUAACCUCACUACUGGAAAUAUCCUCCGAAGAACGAUCCUCAAUGGAGAUUAAGAUCACUGUCUUAGAGCCAUGAAGCUACACGGAUUUUUUUCUCUUGGUGUGUGCAUGUGGUACGCCACCGUUUUUAGAGCGUAGACGGAAGUAAACAAGGAGGUCGGAUGCCAGUUUUUUCAGUAGGUUCGAAAUGUCGGAGAUAAGUCGAAUUCUAAAUUAAAUCCUAGUAUAUGAAAAGCUUCAAAAGAAACAAAUUCUCUUCAGUUUUAAAGAAGCUCAACUGGUGGGGGUCAGCCCAUCAUCGUUGGACUUCCCACAAAGGGAAACAAUCUGCUAAGAAAGUGAAAUUUUUCUCCAUUGAAAUCGGAUCGUUCGUCGGAGAUAAUUUCCAGUAUUGAGACUAGUAUUUAGAGGACGAAGCCCGCCAAAAAGUCAGCCCAGAUGGCAGACUCUCAUCUCUCGCCACCCCUCGGGCGAUGAAACCAAAGGGCUCCAGCGAGGACUACGACAAUCGAUAAGAAAGAGCCUGUCAAGAAUCCACAACUCUGAAGACAUCAGAAGAAAGAUACAUAGGUUCCGACCUAAGGAACCAGUGGCUGAUUAAAUCUAACAUAUGAAUAUAUGAAAUAUGUAAGUGUAGAUUAAUGUAUAGCCACGUUUGUGUUUGUUUUUUGCAUAAAUAGUGAGAAGUCAAUAUAUUUAAACUCUAAGCCAGACAGACAAACAUCCAUCCAUUCAUUCCUUAGUAUAAAUAGUAGAUAUUUACAAUCGGAAGGAUGAGCAGGAUAUGCCUAAUAGCAGCUACCAGCAUCUGGCUCCUGGCGAUUCGCAUUGCGGUAGGAGGUUAUGCGUCCCGGCUUGAAUCCACAAUCAACGGAAACCUUGCCGGCCACCUUGCCGUAGCCAUCGCUGGAGGCGCUCUUGGAGGCGUAGCUGCUGGAGCCGUAGCUGCUGGAGCCAUAGCUGCUGGAGCCAUAGCUCGAGCGGGAACUGGAUAUUUUCUUGAACUUGGGGUUCUUAAAUUGCUCGGUUAUGUAGCCCAGCUGCUUGUAGGUUAACUGGGGGGCCGGCUCAUCAUCGGACUGCUGUUGCUCCUCCUCCUCGAUGUACUCCUCUUCCUCCUCCUGUUUGGCAACAUAGUUGGGCUUCUUCAGAGUGAUGACCUCGCUCUUCAGCUUGAAGAGAUUCUCCUCGGGCACAUUGGAGAACUGUACCUUUUGAACACCAUCCACAGGCUUCUGUGCAAAGCCAAAGGCCAGCUUAGCCUCGGGCACAUUGAUGGCCUUGCCGGCCUGGGCAGCCAGGCUCACACUGAUGGGAUCUGCGGCCGGACUGUUAUCUUCCUCCUUCUCGGCCGCAUAGGCAAUGCUGUGAAAGGUUCAGGUGGUUAGCACAUGGGACUGACGGUAUCGUAAUGGGGCUGGAUCCACUUACUUGCCAUAGCUGGAACUGGAGCUGGAGCCACUGCUGUAGCUAUCGUCGCUCUGCUGGCAUGCGCAGAUUGUUGAUGCUUAGAAGCACGUACGGAGCGAUAAUGAUGACGGGCGAAGAGCAUAAUGAUGGUGAAGUUUACGGUGACAAGGCAUAGUUGA